rnacentral:rRNA from 1 species
UACGUAGGGUCCGAGCGUUGUCCGGAAUCACUGGGCGUAAAGCGCACGUAGGCGGCUUUCUAAGUCAGGGGUGAAAUCCUGGAGCUCAACUCCAGAACUGCCUUUGAUACUGGAGAGCUUGAGUCCGGGAGAGGUGAGUGGAACUCCGAGUGUAGAGGUGAAAUUCGUAGAUAUUCGGAAGAACACCAGUGGCGAAGGCGGCUCACUGGCCCGGUACUGACGCUGAGGAGCGAAAGCGUGGGGAGCGAUCCGG